rnacentral:lncRNA from 1 species
GCUUUACCCACAAAUGAUGACUCUACAUUUGCCUCAGUGCUAUUACAGACUUGAGGUGUUUUCAGACCAGUUAGGGGGACAUUUUAAAGAUGAGGGGUCCCCUGAGGACUAAACACCCCGAGGACUUUUUGAGAUUACACUAUAUAUAAAUAUGAACUCAGCACUUUUAAUAUAAGAUUGUUAAAAAAAAGCCUUAUGGAUGCAUUUAUAAGCCUAACAACAUGCUAAGCCUGACUUUGGGCUCUCUAAAUUAACAGACAGUGCCGCACAAGGUUCUUUUUUAACCACGUUAUAAUAAAUGGACUUCUAAUAUGCAGAAAAAAUAUAUAUUUAUAUCUAAAAAAUAGUCUUAAAUGAAAAAGUAGACGAAUAAAACUUAGGGUUCAAGUGGUGUCAUGUGCCUGAGUCAUGCUAUAGACUUUUUCACUUAUAAGUCCUACCAUCACAAGGCCCUCUGUUGACUACAGUGGCCCUGAAGGUCAAUGGAAAAAAUAUUUCAGAAGGGAAAAAAAUAAUAUUCCAUAACACACAAGUUGGUUCAUUUAAUAAUAAUAAUAAAAAAAGUUUCAAAACCAGACAAAAAAGUGUUAAAUGAACAUAAUACUUGGAUUUUCCCAUAAUAAUAAUAAUAAUAAUAAUAAUAAUAAUAAUAAUAUAUAAGGGGGUACCACAGGGGUCUAGUUUAGGGUCUCAAACCUUUAUCUCUUGUAUUCAUAAUGUUAUUCCUCUUUGAAACAAAUCCAAUAUGAAUUUCUAUGCAGAUGAUACAAUCUUGUACGAUAUUGCAGACUCUUAAAACUUGCUUUCAGUCCAUAAAACUAGAUUUAUGUUUUUCUUGAGAGCGAACAGCACUGGUCCUUUGUGUAAACUCAAAAAUAAACAUCAUAAUGACCAUUUAGCCAACAAACUACAUUUUUGAAAUCAACUAAACACUAAUUUCACAUUGUUUUUGAGGAAAUUGAUUGUAGGUACCCAUAUUGCUUCUUUAAUUGGAUUAUGGUGAAGUGAUUAACAUGCAUCUCCAUCAGCUCUUAAACCAAUACAUGCUGUUCAUUAUUCUGCUUUUAGAUUAAUCACAGGUGAUCCUGAUAUUACAGAGUCUCUCUUCUCUUGGUCUUCUGAAACACGGUCUAAUGACUGUCUUUGACUCCAAGCUCCUCGAGUUUAUUCAUCUCUGCUUUAAAAUCCUUUUUGGUUGAUUGUUUUAUAGAGUUAAUUUCAGUAUUCUGUAUUUUCCUGCCCGUUUAAAGUAAAUAAGGGCCAGUCCUCAGUGUCUCUAAUAAAAGCUGUCCUCGUCGUGUUAUUUUCUACUUCAGCUCAGUUAUUGGCAGCUCCCUCAUUUACAACUGUGCACCUCCGAAUUAAAAAAAAGUCAAGGUAACCCAAACCUGCUUCAUCUCAGACUGUGCACAAAUCUCAUUAGUCUGAACCCCUGCAAACCGCAGCUGGUUAAAAACAAACAGAAAAUCUCCAUACUGCCUCACAGCGUAGGUGAUUUUAUUACUCCCUGGCCUCCAGUCGGGAUUUCCCUUCAUAAUGUCAAGACGUAGUGAAAACUUAAUUAUUCACAUCUGUGCCCUUAAACGAACCUUGGCGUAUACAUUUAGCACAUCCAGUCCUGACUUUUACAAACUCACAUCUCAGACACCUUUGUUUCUUUUAGUCCAAACACGCGUCCUGUUUGCUUCACUAAAGGGAUUUUCUGUAAAGAGAAAAUCGUGGCAUCAGUCUGUCGAGGAAAAAAGAAAAAAAAAACAAUGAUUUAACUGUAAUUUCCAUGCAGGAAGCCUGCUGAAAGAAUGAUGCAGUAUUCCUGGUGCUGUAGCUGUCAGAAGUAUCCGUCACUGGCAGGACUAUUUAGGGAAGAAUAUUUAUCAAACCCAGCCUGGAAGUGGGGCUGUGAAUACUGAUGGUGCGGUUUCAGGUGGUGACGUUUUAGGGUCAGUGAUGUGGUAUUUUGAUGGUUAAUACUCUGUAAAAUUGAACUAUAUCACCAUUUUGCUUCUUUUUGAUGGUGCUAUUUCUCAGUCAGAUCUCUAAAGCAGAUCUGCAGAUCACCGCGGCGCUGAUAUUCAUCAAAGUGUUUUGCAGAAUUGAAAGAAAAGCCCGCUGUGAUAAUUUUAUUUAAGCAUUCCUUUCUCUCCUCAUGGGACAUACACGGCGCAUUAUGCAAAUGAAAACCACAGAGAAACAAAUUGUUCUUCUUUGAGUAGAUAUCAGAGAUUUUAAACUUCUUUUCAUGAUCUUAAAUGUAAUUCUGUCAUUCCAGUGAGCCGCUGCUCCGGAUGUUUUAUUUCCCGUAAUGCUGUUCAACACAUCAGCGACUGUACAAACAGUGGGAGAUGCUCUUGAUGGCUGGCGCUCACAUUUUUAAGCUCCUUCCCAGCUGUCUGCUACGAUGCACACGCUCCUCGGUAGAUCAGGCACACCUGACACUUCGAGCAUGGAGGUAAACAUACGGCACAUACCUGCUGCUCCCGGAGAGAUGAAGAAGUCGGAGCACAAUUCCCUCUCGAGGAGGAGAUGUGUUUGAUCUCUGAUAUCAUGAAUGGAGCUCUCCAGUCCUGUAUUGGUUUUCCUCUGAUGAGUGUUUGUUGUAAAAAUGGUACACUUGAGUAAAAGGCGAGCUAUGCUAUCUCACAGGUGGAAAUACAUCAUUUAAAAGCACAGAGGGGGGAGAACUGGUCUGAUAAAAAGAGAAAUGAACAAAAUAGAAAGAAGGGCUGAGACUGAACACGAGUGGAGGAUUCCCAUGAAACAGAAAAUACGAUAAUAAUUCAUCUUAACCGUCUUAUAGGAAGACAAAAAACACCGAAAAGCUGCAACAGCUCUGCUAAGAUGGUGUUUUUGCUUGUUUCAAAUAGAAAUCUUGAGGUAGGGCUGGGCGAUAUGGCAUCAAAUCAAUAUCACGAUAUAUUGAGCGGUCCACCUCGAUAACGAUAAAUGGACGAUAACUACUCCACAAGCUGCUCACCCCCUCCCACAUUAACUUUGUCUACUUCAGCCGCUCCAACUUUGAACCGUCCUCCAUCUCCUCUCCUGUCUUUCUCUCUUUGUUACGGACUGGAUGGGGUGGAGUCACGUCUCUGAUGUAGGACAGCGUCUCAAAGGGACAUGAGACCAUAGCGUACCUACACACAUCCAAAACUAACUUUGAUGUAUUUAUUUUUUUGACACUGAAUAUACCGAUAUUGACAAAAUGACGUCAGUUAUUGUUGUAAAUUUCGGUGUUGGUAAAUUUUCUGUUUAUCGCCCAGCCCUACAUUAAAACUUGCCUGUUAACAGCGCCAUAUAAUGGGAUGCUACUCAGAAACUCACGUAGCUAGAAGGCUACUGAAUACUACCUUAGACAUGUUUUAUUUAUCUAGGACAGCAUUAACUAGUCUGCAAAUUUUUCAUGCAGUUCAAUAUUUUCUACCCAAAACCAUAUUUCUGAUCAAUCCCCAACAUCAUUUCUUUAUCAUUUUCUCGAAGUAAUAAUCACCAUAUUAAUCAUUUUCACUGCAGAUACAGUAGUUCUUCUCCCUUAGCGUCUCGGUCUGAUUGUAUUUCCAUGAAGAAAUGAUCAUAAAUGUUCUUCCUUGAGCUGCGACACCCCGCUGUAGUCCGUAAUGGACUGGAAGAGAGUAGGUGAGUUGUGUUUAGUCUCUUUGUUAAAGAAAUGAGUCAAAGUUAAAAAUAUGUUUGGUGUCUAGUACUAUGUCUGUGACCCUAUAUGUCCUGUUGAUGAAGUUAGGUGCUGUUCUGAGCAUUAUUUGUGGCUAUAGAGUGGCGUUUUGGUUGAGCGCGUGGCUCUCUCACUGUGUUUGACCCUAUAUCAAUUUUAUGCCGGAAUAUCCCUUUAAAGAGACAUGAGACCAUAGCCUACCUACACACAUCCAAAUCCAACUUUAAUUUAUUCAUUUUUUUGACACUGAAUUUAUUGAAAUGGCCGAAAUGACGUUGGUUAUGCUCGUAAAUUUCGGUAUCGAUUAAUUUUCGGUUUAUCGCCCAGCCCAUUCUUGAGGGCAAAUGUUGCAGGAUAACAUCGGCAUCCCAGAGUGUGAUUUCACAUUUACACACAGCUGGUGCUUAACGUUCGCUCGCUUAGUCAUGCACACUCACUGUUCCACCCUGCCUGCUCCGUCAACACCAUACUGAUCCAAUCUCACCCCCUUUAAUGCCUCUGUUAGUCUGUUAGCACCAGUGUUGGCACAACAGCAGGAUGACUGUCUCACCAUUAUAUAUUUAUUUGCUUUUAUUUUGGAGGGGUGUGCAACACAAAAUAACAGUAAAUCUAAAUUAGUAUGUGUAGUUUGGUGGCUGAGGUCGCAGGUUACAGAAAUGUCAUGGUCCUGGUAAGGUACCUAAACCUGGGGAGGGGGGGUAGUCAUGGUUAAGGUUGAUAAGAGGACCAACAUUUGUUCCCAGGUCUUUGAUGGCACGCAAUCUUUGGUUCCUGCAUGAAAGACACACUCACCUCGCACCCAAUCUCCUUUUAUUUUCCACUACAUUGACCCUGGCAUAAAGCAUAAAUUGUGAGGCGCAGAAGCGUCCAAAUGUGAACAUUAUCCAUAGGGAUACUUGGGUAAAACCAGAACAUUGCAAUCUCUUUACAAUUACCCAUGUCCUCAUGACUGGAACACAGGUGAUUACUGUUGGUGAUGUGGCUUUUAUAAUAAAGCUUGAGAAAUUCAGCGUACUAUUACACUUUAAUUCAUAAUAUUCAUACAUAUUUAGAGUUUAUUUUGAAGAUAUUCUCAGAGCGAUUGAGGCAAAAACAUCUGGAUUAAGCGGCAACUCUACUUUCCAUCUUUUCCAGACUAAUUAUUCUUUUUAAAAAAGUCAUAAUCGGCAAUAACAUCGACAUUUCUAUACUUUUAAAUCCAAUCACUCUGGACCCACAUGUGUGUUUUCGUUUCUCCUGUUGCUUUGUGGCUACUCCCUCCCCCCUCCUGGACCGUGACCAUUACUCGACAUUGUAAUGCACAGCCCAACAACAGGCCGCCUCCCUUGUGACCUUCAGCUUCGGAGUCCAGCGCAUCUCAUUCCCUUUGACACUGCUUGCCAUUCAGGCUGUAAUUGUCACUCGCUCAAGGCUUUUAAAACCAUCAAAAGCUUCUCAGUGCUGGGUGCAUGACAGUAUAUCUCGGCUCUCAUCAGAACAUUGGGCUGCCAGAGAAACUGCCCUCCAAGAGCUAAUCCAGCCCCCUGAGGUGCUGCUCCAACCAAACUAAUUAUUCUGUGUAACCACACCAGCUGGAAUACAGCCACCGCAGCUGCAAAAUACAGGUCCGGAGUGAAACAUUACAAUCUGAUCCCUAUCUCUGAACUCGCUCCUCUUAUCCCCGCUCAUGCACGACUAUAUGACUUGCAUUUCGUUUUUUUUUUUACCCCCAUAAUAACCUUGCUCUGCAGCGCCAGCCCUCUUUUUUCUGUUUGUGAACUUGGCUGGGUCGUAUUCGCAAUGCAGCCCGACCGACAGCAGGGUGAUGUCAAGGAGCAUCUUUCAGCCCAGAAGUCUUGACCAUCCCUGGGCCAGCAAAUAUAUCAAGGAGCUUUCCAGUUUGUGUUCUUCUCUCAGAGGAAAUAGGCUCCCUGGGGCUUGGAGGCCUUCUCUUGAUCCUGUGGUGAUACCAAGGAUUUACGGGGACUCUAGUGAUUAGCCAGAGGGGAAAUGGGAAAACAGGGCAAUCGCUGCCAGCAGUCCUACAUCAGACGAAUAUGGACAAACGCACACACUCAUACGUCUGUGUGUGCACAAACAACCCGGCCCUGCACGCUCGCAAAGAAAACGCAGAAACACACAUUUAUAUUGUAAUGCAGAAUCUGUUUGUACCUUUGUGGAUGAGGAAUUUUAAAGGUUAUAUAAACUGCUGUUUUGCCACUUUGUUCUUGUAAACUCAGCAUAUGAAUAUGCAUCCAAUUUUAACCUUGGAAAUCAGCAUAUUCCUACAAAUCAUUCCUCCUUGAUACUGAAAAUGAAUGUAGGACUCCCACUAGUCUCUCUGGCCUUGACGAGAAAACACUUGAGAUACAUGAAUCCAAAACAUAACCUUCUCUCACUACUUAUGCUCACUACAUUGUAAGCACAUCCUGUUGUCAGAGCCUUCAGCUGCAUUGGCGUUGAAAGCUGGCAUUUGCUUGAUCUCAUCCCGACAGUAUAUGAAGAUAAAGUUAGGCCUGAACAGACUGCUCUCACUCUGCCGUCUCCGUGCUACAGAGCAAAGCGCAGUCAUCGCUUUGGUGGAAGGAGACGAGGGGCGUUGCAUCAUUUUCCGAAACAAAGUCAAGUCAGAACCAUUUUAGUCAAAGAGAUUUGUUGUUUGCAUGCAACAAGUUGGCGGUCUGACUCUGUUUGAACGCUCCCUGCAUGCCCUUCGAUGUGAAAAUGCAGGAUGUCAGAUUUUAGGGCGGGGAGAGUACAACUCGUAGGCAUAUGUUUUCCAACAUUUGGUGCCUCUGUGGCCUGCCUGGACUAGCACCAUGCUCAUUUUUGACAUCAACGUACAAGCUUUCAAAGUUACGCAGCUAAACAACAGUUCGUGAACAACUAUUCCGCGCUUGUUUCUCGCCAUGUUUGAUAUUCUUGAAUCAGAAAUAGCUCUUGUUGUAUUGAUGUAGGUUUUUAAUCAACCUAGUGACUUUGUUGCUACAUUUGGCGACUUUCCAGACCCCCCUAUCAACUUAUUUUCAAAAAAAGGUGCCUAGCGUCAAAUCUAGCAAUAUUUCAGAAGUUUGUAGACUCGGACAUAAAAGCAGGUACCGAUGUUAAUCUUCUCAAUGGGUAGUGGAUGCGCUUCAAAAACACACACACUCCUCCUCCCUUGGCGGUGGCGACGAGGGGUAAUUAAGUGAAAUUUUUGGUAAUUAGGCGAUGGCGUCAUCUAGCUACUUUCCCUCCUGAAGAGUUGGCAGGAUCUGAUGAGAAUAUUUAUCUUAACAUCUGGUGCCUCUGUGGUCUGCCUGGACUAGCACCAUGCCCAUUUUUGAUAUCAACGUGCAAGCUUUCAAGGUUACGCAGCUAAACAACAGUUAGUGAACAACUAUUCGCCAUUUUGGUUCUUGACAUGUCCGUUAUUUUUUAAUCAGAAUUCUCUAUUUUUCAACUUUAAGUGGUAUUAUCCUUCGUAGAUUCAUGUAGGUUUUUAAUGCAGUAUUGCCAACCUAGUGACUUUAUUGGCGAUUUUUCAGACCCCCUAGCGACUUACUAAGACUCCGACAUUUAAGCAGGUAUUGGUGUAACUCUUCUUAACUAGGGUGACAAUACGUCCUCUUUUAUUCGGACAUGUCCUCCUUUUGGGAGCUGUCUGGCCUUGUCCGGCUUUUUCCAGGGAGGUUUAUAAAAUCCUUAAAAUAUCCAGGGUUUUGAAUGGAUUUUUGAGUUUUUGUUGCGUGGACUUACUGAGCUAGAAGCGCAUAAAAAACACUCAAUCCGACCAAGAAAACUGUCAAAAAUACCUACGGAUGACUCCAUCCCAUGUAGCAGAAUAUGGUCACCCUAUUUUAAUGCAGUUUGCAGGUCUCCUGCACUCAAUGUUGGUUUUGUCGAGCCUUUGUCGAGGACACUCCUUUUGUACCCAAUCAUGACACUCACCUGUAAACGAUUCCAAACAGGUGCCAUCAUUUUUCCAAAUAUUUUGUUGCCCUUGUACCAACUUUUCUGGAACGUGUUGCAUCCAUCGAAUUAGAAAUGAGUGAAUAUUUGCAACAAAGACCUAAUCAUAAUGGUCUCCUUGAGUCUGAUGUUUAUAUCUUAAGCAUCUAGUCCAUCCAUGAGGUGAAGGGAAAGCAUUUCGGUUUGUGCUCUCGCUAUGGUGAUGUGUGGCUAAAUUGAUUUCUCAGUGGUACUCUCAAAGACAUGCUUCAGUGGAAAUUACUGCACAGCUGUAGCGGUUCAAUCAUAAGACAUAUCUGGAAAGAGCUUCCACGUAUGUGUUGGAGGGUCUGACACGUACAAAAAAAGGUGUUACUUUUACCGUGGACAAAAUGAGGACAGCGUUUCUUUUUUUUUCGUGAUGAUGCUAAUUGGCUGAGAUCCUGCCCUCAUGUCAAACAAAAUUAUGACUAAACCAACUAAAUAUACAAUCUCUGACCUUUACUUUUCACACUUUUAAAAUGUUCUAUAUAUAAUCUAUUUUUGCUCAUUCCUUUCCGCAGAAUUAUAUUUCACUAAAACCAAUUACAAAGACAUUGGCGAAUGUCUCGUCUCCCAGUGGACCUCCCACAGCUCUGCUCCUCUCACGCUAGGCUUCUGGGGUUGCAAAAAGCAAUUAAAGGCGCCACCUGUUUCUGCAUUCCUUCUGCCUCCACUGUUGGGUAAUUGGAAACCUCUGUCUAUUGGUGCUGGUGUUCGACCUCAUCUGCGGCUGAUAUCUCACACAGCUGCCCCCCCCUUAAAUCUCUGAAAUAAUACAAAAUACCGAACAGUGAAGCAAAUGAUUCCCAAGCUUUAUGCAUCAUUUGGGGGACCAAGUGGAGACUUUCCUCGGCUAGGAGAGCUGAUAAUUAGGAGGAAGUUUUGUAACAUUUGUUGGUAGAAAUCACAGCCUUAUAGGUAGUAAAAGCUUCAUCAAUUCUUUCAUACCUUCUCUUAUUUUACCCACACGCUAAUAUUUAAUGAGUAUUUUACGUCGUCAGUGGGAAUCCCCUGAAAAAGCCCUUAAAGCGAGAGGGCUCCUUUUAAGAUCUUUUCACUCAGCUGCAAAUAGCAAUAUUUACAACGAUUUGAAGAGUACUCCAAAGUAAAGAGAAAGGAGAAGCCUGACCUUGUUGUUGUUAGAGUUAAUUUACUGAAUGGGCUCACUGUAGCUGCACCUGGAACAUGGUUGGAUGUUAUUCUGUGUUGGUGAAUGAAUGAGGGAGUCGCCUUUGGAGUUUAUUUUCCAAAAAAACAAAACAGAAAUGUCAGGAUAUUAUAUAAAAUAAAUGCUGCCAACCUUGCGAAAAGUAUCCCAUCCAUUUAAGGAUCCAUGAAAGGAUGGGAUACUUAAAAGGAUGGGAUUUCCCAAGUGGUGAGAAAACUUUUUGGGUGCAAGUAACUCGUUUUUAUAUCUCAUCUCCUUUGACAUGAAUUACACGGCAUCGGUGACCACACACUGGAGAAAAGGCUAGCUAUCUAGCUGGCUUCUGGGUCUUCUAUGACCUGGCUAUCCUAAAGUAAGGUCACUAGACGUCCCCAAUUUCCAGGUACAGUCCCUAUAUUGGAUGACCUGUCCUGGAAAUGUCUCCGAUUUAAGCGAUUUAAUCUUUUGUUGCUGCAAGUCCAAAAAGUCGCUCAAGAAUUAAACAAGGAAACUUUUUGCAAAACUAAUUUUGUGGCGAAUUUCCUUAUAGAGUAAAAUAAACAUAAAAGUUACCAAUCACAAAUUAUAAGUCCUAAUAAAAAGUCCUGUUUUGUCGUUUGCUACCUAAGAAUUUCUUUUUCUUUGUUUCCAAACUUUUCAGGUCAGAAUCAGAAGUUAUUCGGCCGAGUUUCGUGAUCUGUUGAGUCAAAUAUAAAAACACUGGUAAACUCAGUGAUAAAGACUUGGUGCCAUGGUAACAGUGGAGGGGGCUGAAUUUGAGACACCAGUAAAAAAUGGAGCAAUUCAGACAGAAGCUGAAAUGACAGUAUUCAAAGACUAGUACUGAGAAAUCAGAGUGUGGUAUGAAAUUUAGCGUAACACCUACUUUGAAGACUGAACAAAUGAAUCUAAAACUAAAGAAACUAUGUUGUGAACAUUCAGCAAAGUUUUGUGGAUAUGGUCCACCUUUUGGUCUAGUUUUUCUCCACUGCAUUAAGAUAAGAUAAGAUAAGAAGAACUAUUGAUCCCAGAAGGGAAAUUCAAUAAUAAUAAAUUAAAUUUAUUUCACUAAAUCAGUUUUUGGUUUUCUUUGGGUGGACACCUUGAAAAUAUCUCUUCAUCCAACCAAAACACCCAGUCAAUCACUGCAGCUUGUGAAUUCCUAAAAACGGAGCCGAACGCCGAGAGACUAUCUACAGUAUCUGAAGUACUGUAGGUGCGACACAGCAGCCAAACAGCAGGUCUUAUCGUUGUUUUCUAACAGCCUUAAUUUAACUUGGCCCAUUAAGGUUUUCCAAUGAGGUUUAUCUGCCUCUGCUUAAUUAAAAAAGUUGUAUAAAGUAUUUCUUCAUUAUAAGUUGCACUAGUUGGUAAACAAUUUUCAUUUUCUUCGAUAUAUGAUUCCAGCAGAAAUCUUCAUCUUGAGUCGAUUUUUCAUGUUUAACUCUGUGCAUUAAGUCAAGUUUAGCUUCUAUCUGAUAACGUCUCUGCUCUCGCUGGAUGUUCACUAAGAAUAAAAAAAAACAAAAAAAGAACAACCUCGUAAUCUGCUGGCAGUGUUAAUGAUGUACAGGUCAGCAAAUCCUUUUAUAGUGAUUCAGGCACCCAUAUUACCAAAAUGUCACCCUAGAGGAGUGCACAUAGUCAUUAACCUUUUCAAUGGACACACUUUCGGCCUCAUUAACAUUUCCAGCCUCCACAAAAAAGAGCAAAUUUUUAUGCUUUUGCAUUGCCAACAUUGGAUUUCAACAGUACCAUACCUGAUCAGCCAUGAAAUUGAGCACUUACUAGGUCUCAGUAGCGACAGAGUAAAAUCAAGGUUGAAUUUAUGUGGCUGUUAGUGCAUCCGCAGAAUCUUAUUGUCUGGACUUUGGAUCCAAAUGAAAUAUUCAUCGCCUGAACAUAUUGGUUUUCUUCAUGGAGCCUGGUUGGAAAGACGUCUUUGGAGUUGGGGUGUUUUUGUAAGCGUCGCUGUUAUGCAUUUAUGAAAACAUAAUUGGUCGUCUUUGGCGAUGAAAAUACUCUUUGCUCCUUUGGAAAAAAAAGGUUUAAUAAUUGCUCCAUUUGCAGGCGAAAGAAUAAUCAAUUAAUCAAUCGGGAUGCAUGCUGUUUCAUAAAUAUGUAAUAUUGUUAUUCAGUCACACCAGAAUGAGUAAAAUGAUCCUUUACAGGGCAUUUAUUAGCUCCAGUGUGUCUGCGAUUCAUGCCUGCCUUUCUAAUCAAUUUUGACCCAUCUAAAAUUGACCCUUUUCUUGCACUUUCAACUGAAAAUUACUCUCUCAAUAGGGAGCUAACUCAGGCUUUGGCACCAUUUCAUUUCCCCUCUCAACUAUUCUCAGCAGGCUUCCAAUAUAAAUCUAAUAAAGAGCUGGAACUGUUGUCUCCUCAGAAUAUGUCGGCUCGGUCAUUCUCAAAUCAGAAAAAUGCAAUACAGCCCGUGUCCCACCAGCUCGCCGCUACGCCGUUACCUCUCCAGGUUCAUGAAAUCCUCCAGUUUGGCAAACCGCACUGCAAAUCGCACUAAACUACCUGUUCCCUUGGCAUCCACCUCAGUUAUGCUAACACUAUCCCCGGACGCCAUGCCAUGAAGCGAGAGCAGCCAGGGGGGAUGAGAGGAAACAGGUGUAAUCAUAAAAGCUGUCACUCUCUGAUACUGCUAUUGGCACAUAUUUUACCCCAAUGAUUCGCACUCGGAUGUGGUAUAAAUUUCUUACAUCUUCGCACGACGGAUUUGAUUCGACUGACUUUCUUUUCCUGACACACUUUUAAUACAGGCAAGGCAUCAGCAGAGAGUUUGGUGUUGUAAGCACAAGUCCCACAUCACUGAGUGUUUGGUUUCCUCGCACAUUAGUCUGCAUAUUGAAAGAGAGACUGUCUGGUCGGCUGUCUUGCUAUGUCCUGUGAGGCUCCAAGAGACUCUGGUGAAAGCUUUCAGUCAACUUUCUUGUCUGACUAAAACUUCUUUGAUGCAACCGCAAAACGUCGAAGUCUGUGUACGCUUUGAACGUCCGCUGAUGGUGAUGAUUAGGGUUGGAAAUGCGACCACAGAUGGGCCCAAGGGUCGAGUUUGAGCCAUAUCAGCCUAAUACUUCCUGUUUUCAAACUCAUUUUACUCUCUCUGGCCAAGGUUAUCAUCGUCUCAGAGAAAACUCCUCCAUUUGGCGAUAUGGUUGAGACUGGUCAGAGCGUCUAUCUGAUGAAAGGAUUUAUACUCGCCAUUAUUUUUGCUCUGUUGUGGAUGUCAAUAGCAGGUGACAGGCAGGACCCAGAGCGUAAAGCUGAUAACUCUAACUGCAAACUCGAUGUUAGAUGUUGUGAAUCGUCUUUUUUGAAAAGAGUCCAAUUGGACCCCCACACAUAAAGACUUAAUCACUGCAGGCGCUACAAGCGACCACUCAUUGCGGAUUGAACCAUGAAAUUACAGCUUUGCACCUCAGAGGUUAUUUAAGGUGACGGAGAAGUUGAGAAAAGGUUCGACUCCACGCAGGAGUUUGUUUUGAUCCCUGGAGGCGAUGGAGGCACCGCUGCCGGGCUUCGCCUCGGGUGUGAGAUACCAGAUCCAUGAUGAGGAGGACUACUUUAAACAUGAACUUUGAAGAGGUGAAGUCUGUGUCACUGUAACUUAGAUUAUAAUUUAAGUAGUAUGAUUGUGAUUCUCCCUUUGAGUUAAUAGUGAUACAUUUAAAGUAGUUAAGGAGUGAAUCAGCGAUCAUUGGAGGGCGGUGCAAUUCUUAGCAACUUGGUUGUGGGUAUUAAUGCUGCGCUUCAGUUAACUCCGAAGUUGGGUGAUAAAGCUAGGAAUGACAUUGCACCCAAGUUGAUGGUAUUCCAGUAAACAAGUCGGAAAACCAAGAUGGGCGCCUACUGUUAGCCAUUGUCAGCUGUCGUUAGCGUUACCAGUUGUAAACAACGCCUCGCACAGUAUUUUACUCUUACAAACACCAUAGCACCGUGUUCACAGUUACCCGGGAUUUCCACAGCAACUGGAACAGCAGCGAUUUUCGCCUAACGCCAAUUCCUACCGGAUCCAUUUGUGAGACGAAUUCCGUGGCGGAUCACGGACAGCGUUAAUCGCAAGAACUCACAAGAUUCAUGUGCAAUCGUGCAAUAACGAGUUGUCUGUUAGCCACAAAGGCUAACCAUAUAAACAGUAGAUUGUGUCCUUCCAGAGGAGGUAAUCUACUUCUAGACUUAUAAAAUCCGCAUCUCCUCAUCCAUGGUGUCAUCGAGAUGAAAUCCUGUCUAUAAAGUUCCGGAUGCUGUGGAAAUUGCCGGCUCGACAAUGAGCAGUACAAAAUCCGGAUGUGUCUUACAAGUCACAAUGAUCAGUCACACCUGGAUUAACCAGUUUGUCCAAUAAUGUAAGACAGGAAAUAAAGGAGCUGCCUUCAGUUCAGGAAGUAGUGGAUCCGUACAUAGAGCCCAUUCACUUAGGAAUUAUUGGAUUUCUGGUUUUCACGCCUUUGCGGUCACAUGAUGGUGGUCAUAAGGUUCGGUCAGGUCCUUUCAUGUUGUUUGUCACACUCUUGGUGAGGUCACAGCAUGAAUCUGUGGGUCUGUGAUCGUCCUCCAUAAAGAAUGUGACAGUUUGACUUAUAUUACAGUAUUUACGGUAAUUUAAUUCCACGCGUCUCACUCUCAUAUUAACUCUUCAUUCAUUGCUGUGCUGACUCUACAUUUCCUCACCACUCUGUUUGCACUGGCACCAACAUCACAUCAGUCUCUGUAGAUCCACGUCGUCCUGCUGCUGCUGCUGCUGUUAGCGCUCUGAGGCGGCUAAUGACUGACAAGGGGUUGUACUCUUUGCCUGUGAUGUUGCAUACAUACAGGACUGGGCAGCGGUCAUGACACUCCUCAUAACAGCUGAGGUGUGGGGUUUAGAUUCAGGCUUGUGUGGUCAUGACUCCGACACUGCACCACCGUCACCAUGGCAACCCUUUGAAAAGUCCGCCAGCAUCACUUCUAGUCAUUAGCACAUUGUAAAGGUGGUAUGUUGCUUCCCAGCCACAGCUGUUUUGACCGGCUCCGUUAUGCAUCAACUAUAUAAAUGAGAAUUGUUUUAAAUGCAGGGAAAGAUGUGUGUGUGCAUGUGUGUGUCUGUGUGUGUGUUUGUUUGUGUACUGCAAACUGAAAUGGGCAUUAGUCAGUUUGAACUUUUGGCUACUCUUUCAUCAAAACUGGAGCCGGUGCUGCAGAGCUUUCAUAAUAAAUAUCACUAGAGUGUAAAACAUAUUGUCGUCUGAAACAAAAGGUCAGCGAGUGCAUUGCCAUGCCGUUAUUUAAUCACCGUCUGGCUUGAAAAAGUAAAAAGUGAGCUUGUGAAGGUCCUCUCAAUCGUUACAGCAUGCAGUAUGGAUGCAAAACCAAAAAUGCUGCAGCGUCUCAGAGGCAUGCACAGAGGGUUUUGAUUUUCUACUGUAAAGAUGGGGAUUUCUGGAGGCCCAGCCUACUUUGAAAGAGCAUGCAUUCAAUUUUUAAAGCUGUUAUACAAUCUCUGAAGAAGAAAAAACAACAUCCAUCGAUCUGAAACUCUCUCUUUUUAGCAGCUAAUAUGUGAUUUUGUAGAUCUGAGGUUUGAAUUGUUAAAACUGAAGUAGUGCAGAUUUAUCUCCUUGCUGGUUUUGUUUUCAUGUAUCAGCAGAUGAUGUGUUUGCAUCUCUGUGCAAAUGCAGCAGUGUACGUCAGUGAGUGUGCUGCCUGUCUCCUCAUCCGUGCCUGAGCGUGCGCGUGCGCCCGUGUUUGUACUGCUCACCGUUCCCCACACUGCAUCUAUCUAAUUAUGCACACAGCAAAGAGACUAUGAGACAAUUCAAUCUUUUGUAGUAAUUGAUCCUUCCACCUGAGGGCAGUACUUUCUAAUCUAAUAUCAGAUAAAUCUGUUUCACAUCUUCAAUUAAACUCCAAUAUUGAAUUGGCUCUCAGGUUCAGCUCACUUGUUUUACUUAGUUCACCUUCUUCUGUUUGGAAAAAAAGGCAGAAAUUCAAUAUAUUGGCCUGUAGUACCGUCUUUUCCCUGCAGGAUGAAGACACUCUCUCUCUCCCUGUGGAUGGAUUUGAAGAGUUUUCUAUGUUGUCUUUCACUGCUGAAUACUGAUCUUUGAAUUGUGCAGGAUGCAUUGAAAUCACGCUGUGUGCAGAGAGGCACAGGUUUUAGUGGAUGUGGAGUUCUUAAGGGCUGUUGCAGACAUUGAACCUGUGAACCUCUUUCACAGGGAGGUUUUUCUUAAGUUAUUCCUCUCCAUUUUUAUGUGCCAAGCUAAGCUUGGACUCUGUUUUAGUCUUUUAUACAGUUGACCCUGAACAAAGUAGAUGUUUGCAACUCGGGCAGUAUUUCUAAAUCCUGAAUCUUUAUUAAAAUACACUGAGGGAGGCUCGCUUCCACUCUUCAUUUUUAUUCCCCAAAGACUGCAGGCU